rnacentral:snRNA from 1 species
AUUGUUUUUUAGCUCCUUGGAGCUCAGAUCAAGUGUAGUACCUUCUCUGAUCAGUUUAAUAUCUGAUAAGUCCUUAAUUUGAGGACUGUUUAUUAAAUGAGUUUUUAGACCUGGGGGACAGAAUAGGAGCUUAC